UAACAUCUGGCUCCUUGGAGGCCCCCAUCUAUACGGCUAAUUGUGCACAAAGAUUCCACAGACCAACUUUAUACAAGGACGUUGCUAUUUUAUUAUACAGCAUGGUUCUCACCAGCUGGUCCCAUUCCCUUAUGCUUCUUCAACUUCUGAAAGGAAUUGGAUUCUCCAAAUGUGUGAUUUGGGCACAACUUCUCCCCAAGAUGACUCCCCCGGUACAGGAAGCUGCCCUUAAAGGGGAAUUCAUGACAACUGAAUCUUCCUGGGAGCUUCUGCUUUUAGGCAGACAAGAAGCAGAGAAAGCUUCCUCCUGCAUCUUUGGAUUCUCAAAUGUCUUCAGUUGAAAAUAAUCCUUAUGCCACGAAGACAUUAAUAUGGACAAGCACAGCUACACACCAUAAAGAGGAAAAUCAAGGCAAGGAACCCAAUAAUUAUGGGAGAUAAAACUUGUCACUGCAGUAUCCAAAUAAAAUGGUAGAUGCCUUUGAAGGCCCUAA